AACGUAGGAGGCAAGCGUUAUCCGGAUUUACUGGGCGUAAAGCGCGUGCAGGCGGUCUGGUAAGUUGGAUGUGAAAGCUCCCGGCUCAACUGGGAGAGGUCGUUCAAAACUGCCAGACUAGAGGACGGUAGAGGGAGGUGGAAUUCCGGGUGUAGUGGUGAAAUGCGUAGAUAUCCGGAGGAACACCAGGUGGGAAAGCGGCCUCCUGGACCGUCCCUGACGCUCAGACGCGCAAGCUAGGGGAGCAAGCGGG
rnacentral:rRNA from 1 species